rnacentral:rRNA from 1 species
CGCCCGUCGCUCCUACCGAUUUCGAGUGAUCCGGUGAACCUUUUGGACUGCGUGGUCCUCGUGACCGUGUGGAAAAUCAAGUAAACCAUAUCACUUAGAGGAAGGAGAAGUCGUAACAAGGUUUCC